GCUGGAAUGGUCUAGUUGGUUAUGACGACUGCCUCACACGCAGUAGGUCCCGAGUUCGACUCUCGCUUCCAGUA
rnacentral:tRNA from 1 species